rnacentral:rRNA from 1 species
GAUCCUGGCUCAGAUUGAACGCUGGCGGCAGGCCUAACACAUGCAAGUCGAACGGUAACAGGAAGAAGCUUGCUUCUUUGCUGACGAGUGGCGGACGGGUGAGUAAUGUCUGGGAAACUGCCUGAUGGAGGGGGAUAACUACUGGAAACGGUAGCUAAUACCGCAUAACGUCGCAAGACCAAAGAGGGGGACCUUCGGGCCGUCUUUGGCCCAUCGGAUGUGCCCAGAUGGGAUUAGCUAGUAGGUGGGGUUAACGGG